rnacentral:rRNA from 1 species
UACGUAGGUGACCAGCGUUGUCCGGAUUUACUGGGCGUAAAGGGCGCGUAGGCGGCCGCUUGCGUCGGAUGUGAAAGCCCGGGGCUCAACCCCGGAACGGCAUCCGAUACGGGGCGGCUCGAGACCGAGAGAGGUGAGUGGAAUACCCAGUGUAGAGGUGAAAUUCGUAGAUAUUGGGUGGAACACCGGUGGCGAAAGCGGCUCACUGGCUCGGUUCUGACGCUGAGGCGCGAAAGCGUGGGGAGCAAACAGG